AUGAACGCUGGCGGCGUGCCUAAUACAUGCCAGUCGAGCGAACGGACGAGAAGCUUGCUUCUCUGAUGUUAGCGGCGGACGGGUGAGUAACACGUGGAUAACCUACCUAUAAGACUGGGAUAACUUCGGGAAACCGUAGCUAAUACCGGAUAAUAUUUUGAACCGCUUGGUUCAAAAGUGAAAGACGGUCUUGCUGUCACUUAUAGAUGGAUCCGCGCUGCAUUAGCUAGUUGGUAAGGUAACGGCUUACCAAGGCAACGAUGCAUAGCCGACCUGAGAGGGUGAUCGGCCACACUGGAACUGAGACACGGUCCAGACUCCUACGGGAGGCAGCAGUAGGGAAUCUUCCGCAAUGGGCGAAAGCCUGACGGAGCAACGCCGCGUGAGUGAUGAAGGUCUUCGGAUCGUAAAACUCUGUUAUUAGGGAAGAACAUAUGUGUAAGUAACUGUGCACAUCUUGACGGUACCUAAUCAGAAAGCCACGGCUAACUACGUG
rnacentral:rRNA from 1 species